GGGAGACCUACUUCAGCAGGUCGUGGCCGGACCACCAUUGUUAACGGCUGCGGGUCGAAGUGGCUGUGGGUAUUGCUGCGGCUGGCGCGGCGUCGCUCUAGCCAGUAAAUGACCUGCGACAUAACUAUUUGCAAAACAAAUGGGGAAGACCAAGAUAAAGAUAAGUUAUAUCACAGGAAAGCAAUUGAAAAUGCAAAAAUGAAGCAUCUGAAUGAAGGACUAAUAACACUGAAUUCAGCUUUUGUGAAUCUUAUCUGCAGAUAUGUACAGACCACAUCCUAAGAUUGACUUCUGCCUCAACAGAAAUACAUGAGCCAGUGCCUUAUUGGAAAUGAUUUGCGUGUUUUAAGAACUGGUGUAUAUAGGUACAUCUUGAAUGUUCUGCUUUCCUUGCCUUAUGCCUGUACUUCACCUCAGCCUUCAAUUCCAUUGUGUUUCCUUGCUACUUGGUAUCUUGAAAUCUGGUACGAAACUAUUGCAUGAUCCCUGCACCUUUGCUUCUGCAUAUAUCAUAGCUCUCUUAUAGUGAGUGUGCACAAUCUAUUUCAUUUGAUGUAAUCAAAGUUUAAUAUAUUGGAUAGUUAAAAAUAAAAUACAACUUUAAAUGCGCAAGAGUAUUCUCAUUGU
ensembl:lincRNA